UACGUAGGGUGCGAGCGUUAAUCGGAAUUACUGGGCGUAAAGCGCGCGCAGGCGGCUUGGUAAGUUGGGGGUGAAAUCCCUGGGCUCAACCCAGGAAUGGCCUUCAAGACUGCUUGGCUGGAGGACGAGAGAGGUGAGUGGAAUUCCCAGUGUAGAGGUGAAAUUCGUAGAUAUUGGGAAGAACACCGGUGGCGAAGGCGGCUCACUGGCUCGUUUCUGACGCUGAGGCGCGAAAGCGUGGGGAGCAAACAGG
rnacentral:rRNA from 1 species